rnacentral:rRNA from 1 species
UACGGAGGGUGCAAGCAUUAAUCGGAUUUAUUGGGCGUAAAGGGCGCGUAGGCGGGCCUGUAAGUCAGAUGUGAAAUCCCGAAGCUCAACUUCGGGAUAGCAUUUGAAACUGCAAGUCUAGAGGGUAGGCGGAGAAAGUAGAAUUCCACAAGUAGCGGUGAAAUGCGUAGAGAUGUGGAAGAAUACCAGUGGCGAAGGCGACUUUCUAGCUUAUACCUGACGCUGAGGCGCGAAAGCAAGGGGAUCAAACAGG